AUUUCAGGAAGGACGAAUGAGGGGUCAAGCAUUUCUGACAUUCCCCUCUGUUGAAUUGGCUCAUCUUGCUCUGAAUCGGGUGAAUGGAUAUGUAUUAAAAGGAAAGCCAAUGAUUAUACAGUUUGGUCGGAAUCCCGCUGCUGCUAAGACUUGAUUGAGUGCAUGUAUUGAUGUAUAACAGAUGACUAAUGAUGCAUUCUUAAUUCACUCAUGGGGAGAGGACCCUGCACUAACCACUGAGACUACAACAUUCAGCAAUGACAGUGAUAUGAAUGCUAGCACGUAUAUUCUCCUUGGGCUUAUGGAUGCUAUGUGAAUCACUUCACAUUGUUGGCAAUAGGGGUUGUGAAUGCAGACCAACGUUGGCUAUAUGAAGGGUUUAUUACAUAUAUUAUUUCUCGGUUGAUUUUUAGCCUGGGAGCAACAGUAUAGGGAACUCGGAUCCAGUUGGACAAUUAUGGUUGACAAUGAUACAGCAUGGCUCUGACAACGUGGGUAUGUAUCAGGUCUAUAAAACUUUUCGUUUUGCAGCUUGCCAUUGCCAAAUGCCAAAUGCCAACAUUCCUAUACGGAGAGAUACAUACAUGUAUCGCAUUGUCUUUUUGUAAUGUCUAAGAAACAGAGAAUUGAAAUUAUCGAACUGAAUGGUUUGAUUUUUGUUUACUAAAAAAUAGUUGCAAGCAUAAUAUUUAUAGUUAUUCUACAA